ACGGUCGUGGUGGUAGAGCGGUGGAACGGCAAUCCACAGUCCCGGGUUCAAGUCCCGGCGGUCGGU